rnacentral:rRNA from 1 species
GUCUACAGCCAUGCUAUCAUGAGCAAGCCCGACCCCGUCUGAUUUCAGAAGCUAAGCAGGGUUGGGCCUGGUUAGUACUUGGAUGGGAGACCGCUUAGGAAGACCAGGUGCUGUAGGCA